GGUACUCUAAAUCGGCCA
rnacentral:misc_RNA from 1 species